rnacentral:misc_RNA from 1 species
UGGUCACUUUAGGUCAUUUUAGGUUCAGCUAGUUCAGCUAGUAUCAAAAUGGGAUAAAACCGUAAGGCUUAUGGCUAAAGCGGACAAUUCCUCUAAUGAUUGGAGCCCGAUCGUUACAAAAUGACUAGUAGUACAAGGUAAAAUCAAGAGUAUGAUUCUAAUUUUAGUUCUCAUAGUGCACUCUCCCUUGGGCUCCAAUCUUGCUUAGAAUGAUGGGAAAUCCUCAUCUACGUAAAAGAUUUAGAAGAAUGGAGUUUGAAGAAGAU